CUACGGGGUGCUCCAGUGAGGAAUAUUGCGCAAUGGGGGGAACCCUGAUGCAGCAACGCCGCGUGGAGGAUGACGCAUUUCGGUGUGUAAACUCCUUUUAUAUGUCAAGAAAAUGACGGUAGCAUAUGAAUAAGCACCGGCUAACUCCGUACCAGCAGCCGCGGUAAUACGGAGGGUGCAAGCGUUACUCGGAAUCACUGGGCGUAAAGGACGCGUAGGCGGGUUGGAAAGUCAGGUGUGAAAUCCUACAGCUUAACUGUAGAACUGCACUUGAAACUUCUAAUCUAGAGUAUGGGAGGGGGAGAUGGAAUUGGUGGUGUAGGGGUAAAAUCCGUAGAUAUCACUAGGAAUACCUAAAGCGAAGGCGAUCUCCUGGAACAUUACUGACGCUAAGGCGUGAAAGCGUGGGGAGCAAACAGGAUUAGAUACCCGGGUAGUC
rnacentral:rRNA from 1 species